CUUCUGUCCCUGCUUAUCUGUACUUUCUAAGAUACUCUGCACGAUAGGGCUAAAAGAAGGAAGCUCACUUAAAGAAAACAAAGAAAACGAAACUGGCGAGGUCCCCUUUCUGGUCCCGGUCGCGGUUCUUCCGGGCUCGGCGCCCCACCCGCCAGCGGCCCUUCCCGCCUGUUAGCGCGGCAGCCAAUCAGCUUGUCAGGCAGUGUCCCCCACGCGCUGGGAGCCACCCUGAGCGUUUUGCUCGACUGUCCUUUAUUUGGCUCAUCACAACCGAAGGGGUAUCGGGCUUUCUACUCAGGACUCUCUCCAGCUGUACUCGCCUUGUUCCAACCUCACCGCUAUCCCCUGGACUUAAAGCCCAGUCGCCGCUGGGGACCGGGUAAGAGCCAUCUGUGCACCUAAAUGAGCGUGGCGCGGAAGAUCCGGAGGCAGAUUCGGACACACUCCCCGAUCAUCUGGGAUGAUCGGUCCGGAGCCAGCGCCAUUGGCUUCUCUCAAAGCUCAGCCCGUCUAAGACCUGUGAUCGGAACCCGGAGACCUUGAAACUCUCGGAAGCCGCGUUUUAAAACCGGGAGAGAGAAAGAAAGAGAUGAAGGAGAGGGAGGGAAGAAAGGAGGGAGGUAGGAAUGCCUAAGGAACCCCCGAGUUAGUGGCGUCUCCUACCAUCAGCCGCAGACCGAACCUUCGGAGGAUUCCAACCCCAACCUUCAAGCCAGUUGAAAAUGAAGGGAACAACAUAUCCCCUGUCCGGAUUCCAGGCUCUCAGGAUCUGUGACUAUGGUUAUUUUAUGCAACUGAGUUUGGGGAUAAUUUGUUAUGCACCUUAGUAAGGAACAAUAGUAUGUGUGUUCUCAGGCUUCUUUUCCCAGUUUUCUGAGGACUUUCCAACGUUUGCUAUUUUCAGACUUUUUUUUCUUUUUUCAUUUGUGCUGCAAAUAUCUGUAGAUCAGUUUGGAGACAAUGACAUCUCUAUGAGAUUACAGUUUCUGUAAUCUGUAAUCUAUAAUCCCCAACUUCCUCUCCCUACGCUCUUUAAGAAGCUUCCCAGUCCAAGCAGGGGAAGACGUCCAGCCCUGACCUGAUAUAUGAUAUAUCCCAUACUUAAUUACAUUUUCUUUAAUGUCUCACAAUAAAGUUAUAUACAAUUUUCCUGAAGGAUUUCACACCUUUUGUCAGAUAGUCCUAUGUCCCUAAUUUUUGAGGCAGUUUUAGAUAGUAUCUUUAAAAAAUAAUUUUGGGGGACAUUCCUUGUGGCACAGUGGCUAAGAAUCCGCCUGCCAGUGCAAUGAAAAGUAGCCCCCUACUUGCCUCAACUAGAGAACAACCUGUGUGCAACAACAAAGACCCAGCUCAGUUAAAACUAAAUUGAAAAUUUUUUUCUGUUUGAUAAUAUAAGCACAAGUACUUUGCAUGCAUAGAUUUCUGCAACCAGCAAAUUGACACACUUCCUUAUUAUUCUAAUGAUUUUUCUGCACUUUUUAAAAACAUAGGCUUCCCUGAUGGCUCAGUGGUAAAGAAUCCACCUUGCAAUGCAAUGGACACAGGUUCAAUCCCUGGUCUGGGAAGAUCCCACAUGCCUCAAAGCAAAUAAGGCCACACGCCACAACUACUCAGCCUGUAUUCCAGAGCCCACGAGCCGCAACUACUGAAGCCCGUGGAUUCUGGAGCCUGUGUUCCACAACAAGAAAAGCCACUACAACGAGAAGCCCUCGGCACUGCAAUGAAAGAGUAACCCCUGCUCACUGCAACUAGAGAAAGUCCAUGCAGCAACAAAGACCCAGUACAGCCAAAAAGAAAUAAAUAAAACAUAGUCGAUCAGGGAAUUCCCUGGCAAUCUAGUGGUUAGGACUCAGUGGUUUCAUUUAUUGCUAAGGCCCAGAUUCAAUCCCUAGUUGGGAAACUAAGACUCUGUAAGCCAAGCAACUCAGCUAAAACACCAAAAGAACCCAGGAAACAAUAGUCAUAUCACCUUCUUUUCAGUACCUAUUUUCUAUUUUUCCUGCUCAACUGGACUAGCUAGAACCUCUUGGGAAGCAAUGAAUAAGUGUUGAUAGUAGGCACUCUUCCUGUGUUCACUAUCUUAAGGGGAUAUCUCAAUAGUUUCUCAGCAUGAAAACUAUUUGCUGUGUGUUUUCUCAUAAACUCCUUUUAUCACUUCCCAAAAGUUUGGUCAUAGUUCUAAUUGGCUAAGAGGUUUUAUCACGAAUGAAUAUCCAAAACUUAUUAUAUAUAAAUGUAUUAUAUAUUUAUUAUAUAUAUAUAUAUCAAGUGAUUUUUCUCAUUUGAUCUUCUAAUCUGUCAAGUUACAAACUGAUUGAUUUUCUAGUGCUAAAAUGAACAUUAAAUUC
ensembl:lncRNA